rnacentral:rRNA from 1 species
AUUGAACGCUGGCGGCAGGCUUAACACAUGCAAGUCGAGCGGAGAUGAGGUGCUUGCACCUUAUCUUAGCGGCGGACGGGUGAGUAAUGCUUAGGAAUCUGCCUAUUAGUGGGGGACAACAUUCCGAAAGGAAUGCUAAUACCGCAUACGUCCUACGGGAGAAAGCAGGGGAUCUUCGGACCUUGCGCUAAUAGAUGAGCCUAAGUCGGAUUAGCUGGUUGGUGGGGUAAAGGCCUACCAAGGCGACGAUCUGUAGCGGGUCUGAGAGGAUGAUCGGCCACACUGGGACUGAGACACGGCCCAGACUCCUACGGGAGGCAGCAGUGGGGAAUAUUGGACAAUGGGGGGAACCCUGAUCCAGCCAUGCCGCGUGUGUGAAGAAGGCCUUAUGGUUGUAAAGCACUUUAAGCGAGGAGGAGGCUACUGAGACUAAUACUCUUGGAUAGUGGACGUUACUCGCAGAAUAAGCACCGGCUAACUCUGUGCCAGCCGCCGCGGUAAGAC